rnacentral:lncRNA from 1 species
CCCCACACCCCCUUUUGAAGAAAUCAGAGGUGCGUUAGACUAUCACCUCCGUCUUCGUGUGUUUCUGUGCUUCGGGAUCAUGUUAGCUUCGGCGGGCAACCAGGUGACAGAGAUAAAUCGCGGGCUCUGAGAAAGUCGGGCCACCGUUCUUGUGGUCCCUCCGGAGUCCCGCCGCCUCAUGGAAAGAUCGAGUACGCCUGGGGAUUACGAAGAUCCGGAGCAGAUCCUGCCUGCAGGGGUUUCACGGAACGGACGGCGAGAUUGGGAAGUGAUAGGGGGCUUUGCCUCUUGUCGUUGGGCCCCGCAGGUUGCGGUGCUGGGCCACGCGGCUGUGGGAGGGUUCGUGUCGCACUGGGGUGGACUCGCCUUGGAAAGCAGCCUGUUAGCGGCGUGCCAGUGGCGGCGUGUCCCAUGUACGCGGAGCACUCAGCUGAACGCUUUCGAGAUGGUGAGGGACUUGGGGCUGGGCGGUGGAGAUCAAGAUCGACUACAGCAUAUAUUUUCAAGGACGGAGGAGAAUAUGGAGUUCUGUUGACGGCGGAAGAGAUCGAGAGUGGGAUAGGCAGUUAAUGGACGCCGAGAUGAAAUCAGGGAGAAGGUUCAGGAGAUGCUUGAAUAGAGCAGGGCGCCGUGAUUGAGGUGGCUUCAUCCUAAAUUCCCUGGGACGAUCUAUCGAAGAUGUCGUCAAAAACAACAUAAAAAUAGAAAAUAGUAAAGGUCAAUUUUUCAUCAUAUCAUGUUUUUACUAUCGCAACCAAUAUUAACUUAGGUUACCCAUUUCUCUAGUGUUGUCAUUACCGAUAGUCAUAUUCCUUCCUCUUUCCCAUAGCAUAGUGGAACCCUAUAACAUAGAUUCUGAACCACAAUAAAUUUUUCUUCAUCUUAGUAGUUUAGCCUUAAUUGAUACAACCCUAUCAUAUCAACAAUAUUCCUAUUCCUAAUUAUAUCCUCCUCAGUUUCACUACAAUAAAGCACAUCCACAGCCACAUGUUCACAAAAUUUGAUUAACUUAAUUCUCUUCUACUAUAAUGCUUCAGCAGUGUUUCUUGUGCUUUUUCAGGGGAAAGCCAACAGAGGGGAGUCACGUCCUCUUUGUUGACUCCCCGAGUCUUCAUUUGUAUUGACUCCUCCUAGUCUUCACCCUAGGCCUAGACACAUUUGUAUCACUAAUUCUAUAAUGCAGAUCUGUUGCUGGGUUUCUUAGUUUCCUUCUCUUUUUUUUUUCUAAACAAAUUGCAUUUAAAAAUUCUGGACACAACUUCUCUAAGUCGUGAUAUUUGAUUGUACAGGUAGUUCAAGUAUUUGGUCUAUGUUUUCAUGAUUAAAAUAUUUUAAAUUAGAGAUUCAUUGUGAUAAUCAGUAUAUAAAAUAAUAUUAAUCGGAUACGAAUGAUAUCCUGUUUUGUUAUUGUUCAUACUUAAAAAUAAGUGUGGCAUACAAGAUUAUGAUAUAAUGCGACCAUUGAUGUAUCCGAUCAAUAUGAUUUUUGACAGUAUUAAAGUUCUUGAUAUUCGUUCGGUAUUGUUCAUAACUUAAUAGAGCAAAACUCGACGUGUGUGAAGACGUGCAAAUUGCCGUGUCAACGAAUAGUUGGUGGCUAGCCCCAUCAGCGCAUUUUUUACAGUAUUAAAGUUCUUGACAUUCGUUAGGUAUUGCAGCCGGAUCUCAUCAGUCCAAGUGGAAUGGUUGGUGGCUAGCCAUCACAUCAUCGGUGUUUGAGCCCAAACAUGUGGUGACAAACCAAAACUUGUAAUGUCUGUUACUCUUUGAUCUGAAAUUCGGUUAGGAAACUCUGGUAGGAGAAGCUCGACAACCAAGAUAUUGCAUUAAGAACUAACCGAACUUAUUAUGAAGAUACAGUCAUGACCACGAUGCACAUUGAACUCGGCUGAAAAAGAGUCAAAUAGUUUUAUUCUCUUAGAAUGAUUUAAAUUAUCAAUUUAGCUACGAAAAACUUGUCUUAAAUUUCUUCUACAUAUAUUUGUUGUUAUAUAUCUUGCCGCAAAUUCUACUAUCCAUUCACCGUUGUAUUAUUUGUUCAAAAUGUUAUCCGUUCAUCAUUUUUUUUAACAUGAUUUACCAUAAGAUCGGGCAUAUCUUACACUCUCAAUACGUGAAAACUAGUUAUUCAUUGGGGGUCCCGCUGUAACAAACAAUGGGUAUAAGUGAUUAAAGCAUGCCUAAAAAUAAAAUGUGAUAUCCAAGACAAGCGAGUUAAAAAAAAAAAAUUUCUAUGUGGGAGGUAAAUAAAUCAUUUAUUCGGUUUAAUUGUUAGAAUUAAUUUUAAGAAUAUUUUUAUAAUAUUUGUUUGGUGAUGGUUUUUAUAAAAAAAAUUCUUGAGAAUUUUCCAAUAAAGACACAUUUCUUAGACAAUAUUAAGAUGUUGUCUUCAAAAUCUCAAAAAUUAUUUUCAGUAGAAAAAUAAAUAAUAUGUAAAAAUAUGGAAUGCUUUUGUUCUUAAAAAAUUUCUAAAAAAAUUAUUCUGCAAAACUCACUGAAA